rnacentral:RNase_P_RNA from 2 species
CAGGCGGACCGAACGAUCGCUGCUGCUCUACGCACGUUUGUUAGAGCAGGGGAGGAAAGUCCGGACUCCAGGGGGCAGUGUGCCGGGUAACGCCCGGGAUCGGCGCUUCAAGGCGACGAGACGGCCAGUGCCACAGAGAAAAUACCGCCGCAGCGCAAGCUGCGGUAAGGGUGAAAAGGUGCGGUAAGAGCGCACCGCGCCGGCAGUAAUGCAGGCGGCAUGGUAAACCCCACACGGAGCAAGACCAAAUAGGCGGGAAGACUGCCUCUGCGCAAGCAGAAGCACGAUGCGUGCCGGCCCGGCGCGCCAGACUCGCGGGUAGGUUGCUGGAGCCGUGCAGCAAUGCACGGCCUAGAGGAAUGAUCGUUCAGCGCAGAAACCAAAGCGAGAGCAAUGGCGGUGCGUAGACAGAAUCCGGCUUACAGGUCCGCCUGCAAA